rnacentral:lncRNA from 1 species
GAUGCAGCGUCAGGCAGCCGCUGGGGAGGACGCGGCGGGAGCCUCAGAUGCCACCUACUCCCCGGCCUCUCUCCCAGUUGAUGCUUCUAUUUUAGGCAGCACGUUAUUUCCUGCUGUGAUUUUUUCAGCCUUCUAAUUUGGGCUCUGAGACCACCUCAUAACUCAGCGUGUGUGUUCCUUGAGGGAAGGGGCAGCAGAGCACCCAGCACUGGAUACUCAGUGUCAGAUGAGUGAACAAGCAAAUGGCUGAUGUCUGGUUUCAAUGUUUGCCUACGAGGAGAUGUACCCCGCUCCCAGCUCUUAGCCUCACCAUGCAGUGGAAGGGAAGGAAGCUUCUGAACUGGCAGCUCUACAUUCUUCCCCUCUCUGUGCAACUUGUUUAGAUCACAGAACUGGAAGGGACCCCAAAAAUCCCAUUCUCCCACCCCUCCGAUUAGAGAGGAAGAAACAGAGGCCCAGACUCAACAGACUUGCCAAAACCCAUGGACCUGGUUGGGGGCCCACAUCUAGCGCUUUCCCCAGCCUCACAGCCUGCCUUGUUUAUUUGUUCAGCAGUUUUUGUUUCGCCAUGGCACAGCUUGUUCUGACUCUGGAACAUUUAUGAGAUGAGCCAAUUUUUAAAAAUCAUAGAAAAUAAAUGGUUUGCUCUUGGAGCUGAAGGGUGGGGCAGCCAGGGUGGGAGACAGGUUCCAGGCCAGUUCUGGGGCAGAAUUCUGGCUUAUCCUUGGCUGUGUUUUUUUCUUCUCCUGCCUUGGGAACCAAAAGGAUUUCAGUGGGAUUUCCUGCCUCGAUUUCUCCAGGACUAUGAUAUGGAAAGACUAGAACAUUCAACCAUACACUUUCUGGUUCUCACCUCCACCAUCAUUAGUUCCAUUCCAAACUCUGUCUCCUACCCAUUGAAUUCAAGAUACAGCCUGAUUCAACUGAUCAACCUGGGGAUGGAGGUGUCAGGACUAGCACCUGGACCAUUCUGCCUCCUCUGCCUGCAACGUCCUCUCUCUCUGCUUGUGAACUCUUCUCCUUCAAAACCCAGCCAUUACAUCACCACUUCUAAAACCUUGAACUGAUCCCCCACGUAGUCGGCCAGCUACUUUUUAAAUUUAAAAAAGCCCACCCAGAAUAAACAGGAUAGCUAAAAUGCUGAAUUUCUUUGCUUUUUUUUGACUGGAUAUUAACUCAGUGUACUAAUGUUAGCUAUUAUCUUGUGUUACUUGAUCAUAAUUUACUUGCAGAUAUGUAAAUAUGUGAUUACCAAAAACUUGUAAAUGAAUCCUUGCUAAAUUCAAUUUUUUUAGCCAACAAAAUAAUUUAUUUAAACCUUAAUUAUGUCCAGGAUGGUAGAGGGAGUGGGAUAAGGAUGACAGAAGGACUCCUGGUGGUAAAAAGAUGACUCUAAGGUCCUAUCUACCCUUUUGAUACAACAUGGCUGCCUCAUUUCCCCAAAAGGCCUGGAACAUAGUAGGUGCUCCAAAAGUAUGCAUUAUAUGUAUGAGUGCGUGAGGACGAUUACACUGUCUGACCCUGGGGUCAAUGAAGACUCUGUCAACCCCAGUUGAAUGUCCCAUGAGGGGCCAGGCUAAGAAUCCAUUCAAGAGCUAUCCUAGGCCAGAUGCAGUGGCUCACACCUGUAAUCCCAGCACUUUGGGAGGCCAAGGCAAGCAGAUCACCUGAGGUCAGGAGUUUAAGACCAGUCUGGCCAACAUGGUGAAACCCUGUCUCUACUAAAAAUACAAAAAUUAGCCAGGCAUGGUGGCGGGCGCCUGUAAUCCUAGCUACUUGGGAGGCUGAGGCAUGAGAAUCCCUUGAACCAGGAGGUGGAGAUUGCAGUGAGCCAAAAUCACUCCACUGCACUCAAUCCUGGGCAACAGAGCAAGACUCUUUCUCAAAAAAAAAAAAAAAAAAAAAAAAGAGCUGUCCUAGCCUCAGGCUUUUUCUCCCUAACUGGGCGACAUGCCCAUUCUUAGCAUUAGUACUAAGCAUUCUUAGCAUACUUAGUACUAAGAUUGGUGAGAUCCUGGGGAUGGAUAGGGCAGUGUGUUCUGAAACCCUUUCAAGGAGCAGGGGCAGCAGCCUGGGUUCAGUUGCCCAUUCCAGCUCCCUCUGCCCCUUCGCUCAAGGCAGUUCCCCAAGCAGCAGUCUGGCCAGCUGUUCACCACUUCCAAGAUUAGCUCAGACCUUAAAAAUCACAGCCCAGCUCCUGCUCUUCUCGUGCCAAGGAAAACAGUAGAUGUCAGAAGCCUCCUUAGGUAUCUGGGAGGGAACAGCUCCUUCUGCUCCCUCCCUUCCUUGUAUGAGGUCAUUGAAUCAGGAUGACAAAGCAAACAGUGACAUGUGUUGGGACUUGUUCCCAGACUGAUUCCAGGAUUUCUCCAGCCCCUCCCGCCUCCCCACCCUCAGAAUGGCAGACCCAGGUGUGGACAACAAACUGAGCAGAACUUGGUCCUUGGGAUCCUGGGAAAUAGGGGCUAGUUGUGAGGCACUUUCUGGGGUGGUGAAGAGGAAGCCCUGGAUAGACCUUGGUAAAAGAGGAAAUUGGGAUAUCAGCCCCACGGGCUAUUUGCACGGUGUGUUCCGGGCUUCAGCAUGUUUCUACAUAUUUUAAUGUGAGUUUAGGAGGGUAGGAGUUCUUUUCCAACUUCACAGAUGAGGAAACAGCCUCAUUUAAGGUCAGCAGUUUAAUCAGGGUUACAUGGCUUAAGUGUCACAGAGCCAGACUUGAAGUGAGUUUUGUGACUAAUGAGUUUUGUUACAUUUUCCCACCUCACCACAGUUCCUUGAACUUGUCAUUGGUAUACCUGUUUCAGGCUUUCUGCCUUGUUGCAUACCGCCAUACUAUUGUUUACGUAAUAUUUUUCUUAAAUAAACACAAUUUAAAAGUUAA